CUCUUAUCCCGAGCUGGUGGAGGGAUCAGGCCCUAUGAAGCCCGGCAACCUGCAAAGACGAAAGUCUAACGCGAAGGUGCCGAACCUGAUGCAAGGCAUAGUUCCUUGGACGAUAAGAG
rnacentral:ncRNA from 2 species